ACUAAUUAAAUUAAAAAAAAUUCGUAUUUCACUUGUUUAUCCUUGAUAAGAGGGAGAUUUAUAAAACUACCAUUUUUUUACUACCAUUUUGCUACAAUACCCUUUUAUUUUGUCCAUUUAUAAAAAUACCCCUUCCCUUGAACAAAAUGACCAAAUUACCCUCAUCUAAUAGAAACAUGUAAUUGGAAACUGAACUUUUCCCGCCAAUUUUUUUCCGCCAAACUUUUUUCCCGACAAAAAAAAAAAAUCCCGCCAAAAAAAAAAUUUCCCGCCAAAUUUGUUUUUCGAAACAAAUUUUUCCUCAGCCAAAAAAAUGAUUUUUAAAAUCUUUGUAAAUAUUUUUUGGCGGCAAAUAGAUUUACAAGAGAUUUUAAAAGAGUUUUAAAAGAUUUACAAGAGAUUUUAAAAAGGUUUUAAAAGAUUUUAAAAAGAUUUUAAAAGAGUUUGAAAAGAUUUACCAGGGAUUUUAAAAGGGUUUUAAAAAAUUUACAAGUAAUUUUAAAAGGUUUUUAAAUCCCUUGUAAAUCUUUCAAAACACUUUUAAACUGUUUAAAAAUCUUUACAAAUCCUUUGUAAAUCUUUUAAAGCCCUUUAAAAUCCCUUGCAAAUAUUGUAAAACCCUUUUAAAAUUCCUUGUAAAUAUUAUAAAAUUCUUUUAAAACAAUUUUAAACCCUUUAAAAAUCUUUAAAAGACCUUUGUAAAUCUUUUAAAUCCCUUUAAAAUCUAUUGUAAAUCUUUUAAAACCCUUUUAAAAUCCCUUGUAAAUCUUUUAAAAACCUUUUAAAAUCUCUUGUAAAUCACCCUUUUAAAAUCCCUUGUAAAUCUUAUAAAACCCUUUUAAAAUCCCUUGUAAAUCUUUUAAAACUCUUUUAAAAUCCCUUGUAAAUCUAUUUCCCGCCAAAAAAAAAAGUUGGGGGGAAAAAUAUUUUUGAAAACAAAAUUUGGCGGGAAAUUGUUUUUCAAAAAUAUUUGGCGGGAAAAUUUUGGCCGGAAAUUUAUUUUGGAAUAUUUUUGGCAAAAAAAU
rnacentral:sRNA from 1 species